rnacentral:lncRNA from 1 species
CAGAGUGAUCUGAGUGUAAGAACUGAGAUGGCCUCAUCAUCCUGCAUCUCUGUGUGGAUAUGAACAGAGCUCCCCGACCAUUCAGACGGAACAAGGAGCAGACACCACCGGAAUGAAGAGGAAAAAGCCUGCCUUGAUAUUCAAACGAUCAGGUAAUUUUAAGUUCCAGAUAAAAUCCACUUAUCACCUGGCACAGUCUGUCAAUAUUUUCUUCGGUUGGCAUCACAAAGUACACUGCAGGAACAUCUGGAAUCGGAUCUCGGUCUGAGUGCAAAAGGCUGGAAAACAGAAAGAACAACAGCAACUCAUUUUUCCCCUUAGCUCUAAGAAGAAGCCCACAGUUCCCACUAAAGAAGCCUUACCUUCCAUACUGGUUCUCCAGUACUGUUUUUAACAUGAGGCACAUUGAAAUUCAACAUCCGCUUCAGAGCCACUGAA